UUGACGUGGAUGCUUGGGAAUUUUAGGUUAGGAACCGUUGGAUCGCCUCAUCACGGACGCUGGAGAAUUUGUUGAGCUCGGGCUGCCGGGCAUUGGGCUCAAACCCAGCGUUAUUGGGUCUCUUGAAUUACUUGCACUCAAACACAAAUAAAACAUUAAUUAAUCAAUUUUAUUAAUAAAGAUUAGCUAUAAUACUAAUUAAGAUGGUAUGAAAAUUUUACUUUUGUGCUCUCAUCAAUAUGAGUUAGCUUGAAUCAAGUUCUUAGGAUUGGGUUAGACCUAAGGUUAGAAUCAUACAUGGACAAAUAGAAUUAAUUGAUC
rnacentral:lncRNA from 1 species